AUUGAACGCUGGCGGCACGCCUAACACAUGCAAGUCGAGCGGUAACAUGCUUGGUAGCAAUACUAAGUGAUGACGAGCGGCGGACGGGUGAGGAACACGUAGGAACCUGCCCAAGAGAGGGGGAUAACUAAGGGAAACUUUAGCUAAUACCGCAUAAUUCUCUGAGGAGAAAAGUUGCCCGUAAGGGUAGCGCUUUUGGAGUGGCCUGCGUCCGAUUAGUUAGUUGGUGAGGUAAUGGCUCACCAAGACUGUGAUCGGUAACUGGUCUGAGAGGACGACCAGUCACACUGGGACUGAGACACGGCCCAGACUCCUACGGGAGGCAGCAGUGGGGAAUCUUGGACAAUGGGGGCAACCCUGAUCCAGCGAUGCCGCGUGGGUGAAGAAGGCCUUCGGGUUGUAAAGCCCUUUAGGCUGGGAAGAAGUUUAUGGGACGAAUAGUCCUGUAAAUUGACGGUACCAGCAGAAUAAGCACCGGCAAACUCUGUGCCAGCCGCCGCGGUAACAC
rnacentral:rRNA from 1 species